AUGGAGCCAACCAGAUCACCACUAGUUUUGCUCGUGGCGCAAGCCGUACUCGCUGCGGCGAUGUUGCAACAACCAUCAGAAGGGAGGGUGCAGGCAGUGGCGCCAUCAGCGCCACAUCUCGCCGGAGGCAAAGAAGCUGAAGCAGCAGCCGCUACAUCCUUGCCGGCUUCACCAUUCACCGGGGACCCGCCACCAUCGGAAGAGAGGGCACAGGCGCUCAAGGCGCCAUCAGUGCCACACCUCGCCGAAGCCGAACCGGUAGCGGCUACCUCCUCGCCGGCUUCACCGUACACCGGCGUCUCGGUCUUCAUCCCGGCACCGCCGCCUCUACCUGGCGUGCCCGCGUUACCGCCGUUGCCCGGCUUCCCGGGCAUGGCAGGCGCGCCUUCGCCUUCGCCUUCGCAGCAGCUGGCCAGUUGCUUGGGACCGCUCGGGCGUGUGAUAACUUGCGCUCCGUACCUCACCGACUCCGUACCCGCGCCGCCGAGUACAUGCUGCGACGGCUUCAGGUCGCUCGUCGGCAGCAGCGCCCGGAUCUGCUUGUGCCAUGCCAUCAUCGGCAACCUGAGUACAUUGGCCAGGGGGGAGAUCGACCAGCUUCGCUUGCUCGUGCUGCCUCUGACGUGUAGCACGAUCGUGCCCCCGGACUUGCUUCUCAUGUGCAUCCUGUCUCCGGUGCCGCCGAUUAUGCCUCAGCACUACGGCGCCGAUGUCAGAGAAAGGCUCGGUGCUCUGGGCGGCUAG
rnacentral:rRNA from 1 species